GCCGCAGCCCUAGAAACAUACGCAAUUCGGUAAAAGGGUGGGCGAACCUUUAAAUGCAGACACGUCUGUGUCACCACAACCGCCAGCCCAGAGCAGUCUGGAAAGGAAGCGAGGCCUAUACUUCUGGGCUCUUUUGACCCGACGGGACCCUUUCGCUGGAGAGGGCAGCUGAGAUCCUUACAAUCCCGGCCCGUCUCUGUGAGGACCUAAGUGGGAAGCCGUAUCCACACGCUCCCAUCCUUGACCCUGGGCGUUGCUCCUGCAUCACGGGUAAACCAGCAUGAAAAUAAAUGAGAGUAACAUGUAUGAAGUAUACGGUGCUGAGCGAGGGGCAAGGUGGAUGGGCCGUACUACCACCUGGAAGUCCAACCAGCUCCGUCCCCACCGAGUGCUGCUGUGUGGUCAAGUUUGGCAACAGCUGGCUCCCUAAGGAAGCCCAGGGGCAAUGGGCCCAAGCGAAGAAUGGGCACCUUUACAUACGGAUGUUAAGGCAAAAAUCCAGACUUCGCUAAAUCUCAACAUUCGCUGGCGGGUAACAAUGAAGCCAAUGAUGAAUCUCAUCGAAUCUCAACAACGAAUCUCAACAUUCGCUGGUGGGUAACAUGAGCGGAAGAAUCCGGCUCAUGCGGAGUCAUAUAAGGAACAUGCAGAUAUUCUGCUCAUAAACAGAGACGUAGAGAUAAAAUCCAUGUGCUUCAAGCACUGACGCCUGUGGGGUUUCACGGUGAGAAAGGUAAAGAUGACAGAGAGCUGUCCAUAUUACGUGAGGCUCUGUACAGUCACCUGCUCCGUCAAUCGUCACACAACUCUGCGAAGUGGGCUCUAUCAUUAGGUCCAUUCCACAAAUGAAGACAGCCUUAAACUUGAUAACCCUUACAUCGCUAUUGAACUUUGGCACAAAGAUGCCUUCCCAUUAAUCAUCCCAUUUGAUCCUCACAAUAGGAGCUGGGCUCAGAGAGGCAGACUGUGCCCAAGGUCACACAGCCGGUAAAGGGUAAGAGUCAGAACCGGAAGCCACAAUUUUCAUCUCCAAGCCCAACACAUUCUUUUUUGUUCUUUUUUUAAUGUUUAUUUUUGAGAGAGAGAGAGUGCUAUCAGGGGAGAGGCAGAGAGAGAGGGAGACAGAGAAUCCGAAGCAGGCUUUAUGCUAUCAGCGCAAAGCCUGAUGGAGGGCUCGAACUCAUGAACCGUAAGAUCAUGACCUAAGCCGAAGUCAGAUGCUUAACCAGCUGAGUCACCCAGGUGUCCCCCCAACACAUUCUUUCUGAUGUAAGAUGUGAAUACAAUCACACAUGGUCGUACGUCUUUUCUUAACAUUUAUCAUUAACCGGGUCUCAGAUUUUAAGAAAAAGUGUUGAAAAGUAAUGAGUUAAUGCAUUCAGAAGUUAGAGUUUGGGCAUUAGCCUAAACACAUAUAAAGAAACCAUAUUUAGAAAUGUUACAGCAAAGAACC